GGAAUCUUCGGCAAUGGGGGCAACCCUGACCGAGCAACGCCGCGUGAGUGAAGAAGGUCUUCGGAUCGUAAAACUCUGUUGUUAGAGAAGAACACGAGUGAGAGUAACUGUUCAUUCGAUGACGGUAUCUAACCAGCAAGUCACGGCUAACUACGUGUCAG
rnacentral:rRNA from 1 species